UAAAAUUAGAUAGCAAAACUUUAUAUCUUCGUUUAAAAGACGGAAAAAUAUAUAAAGAUUAUUAUUUUAC
rnacentral:tRNA from 5 species